UAGGACAGAAGGUAAAAUAUUGACUG
rnacentral:misc_RNA from 1 species